UCCCAGUUCGGAUUGCAGGCUGCAACCCGCCUGUAUGAAGUUGGAAUCGCUAGUAAUCGCGGAUCAGCAUGCCGCGGUGAAUACGUUCCCGGGCCUUGUACACACCGCCCGCCACACCAUGAGAGUCGGGAACACCCGAAAUCCGUAGUCUAACUUUCACGAGAGGACGCGGCCGAAGGUGGGUUCGAUAAUUGGGGUGAAGUCGUAACAAGGUACC
rnacentral:rRNA from 1 species